rnacentral:rRNA from 1 species
GCUCAAAUUUGAAAUCUGGCACUUUCAGUGUCCGAGUUGUAAUUUGAAGAAGGUAUCUUUGGGUCUGGCUCUUGUCUAUGUUUCUUGGAACAGAACGUCACAGAGGGUGAGAAUCCCGUGCGAUGAGAUGUCCCAGACCUAUGUAAAGUUCCUUCGAAGAGUCGAGUUGUUUGGGAAUGCAGCUCUAAGUGGGUGGUAAAUUCCAUCUAAAGCUAAAUAUUGGCGAGAGACCGAUAGCGAACAAGUACAGUGAUGGAAAGAUGAAAAGAACUUUGAAAAGAGAGUGAAAAAGUACGUGAAAUUGUUGAAAGGGAAGGGCUUGAGAUCAGACUUGGUAUUUUGUAUGUUACUCUCUCGGGGGUGGCCUCUACAGUUUACCGGGCCAGCAUCAGUUUGAGCGGUAGGAUAAGUGCAAAGAAAUGUGGCACUGCUUCGGUAGUGUGUUAUAGUCUUUGUCGAUACUGCCAGCUUAGACUGAGGACUGCGGCUUCGGCCUAGGAUGUUGGCAUAAUGAUCUUAAGUCGCCCGUCUUGAAA